GGAUGUGAGGGCGAUUGACUGUGAGCUAUGUGACCCCAUUUGUCACCAGGAUUGAUUCAGCUGAUCUGGCUGGACAGGCCAAUGUCCCCUUCCUCCCUCUGCACUCUGUGUGGGUCCCUCCAAAAUCUGUAUGCACUGUUAAAGAGGAUAACCUUCACCAGUAGAGAAGGACCUUCCUUUCAGAGGAAAUGUGUAAAAGUAACUGCGUUCCCUUAUUAGAACCUCCAAACAAGGGCUCAAAUAUUCUAUUAUCAUUAGUAGCAAUCACAUUGAGGGCCUACUAACGGACACUGUAUGAGGCCU
rnacentral:snRNA from 1 species